rnacentral:rRNA from 1 species
UACGAAGGGGGCUAGCGUUGCUCGGAAUUACUGGGCGUAAAGGGCGCGUAGGCGGAUAGUUCAGUCGGGGGUGAAAGCCCGGGGCUCAACCUCGGAACUGCCUUCGAUACUGGCUAUCUUGAGUACGGGAGAGGUGUGUGGAACUCCGAGUGUAGAGGUGAAAUUCGUAGAUAUUCGGAGGAACACCAGUGGCGAAGGCGGCUCACUGGUCCAUUACUGACGCUGAGGUGCGAAAGCGUGGGGAGCAAACAGG